UACGUAGGGGGCGAGCGUUGUCCGGAUUUAUUGGGCGUAAAGAGCUCGUAGGCGGUUUGGCAAGUCGGGUGUGAAAACUCCGGGCUCAACUCGGAGACGCCACUCGAUACUGCCAUGACUCGAGUCCGGUAGGGGAGUGGCGGAAUUCCUGGUGUAGCGGUGAAAUGCGCAGAUAUCAGGAGGAACACCGGUGGCGAAGGCGGCACUCUGGGCCGGUACUGACGCUGAGGAGCGAAAGCGUGGGGAGCGAACAGG
rnacentral:rRNA from 1 species